rnacentral:rRNA from 1 species
UGGGGAAUCUUGCACAAUGGGGGAAACCCUGAUGCAGCGACGCCGCGUGAACGAUGAAGCCCUUCGGGGUGUAAAGUUCUUUCGACAGGAACGAUAAUGACGGUACCUGGAGAAGAAGCUGCGGCUAACUACGUGCCAGCAGCCGCGGUAAUACGUAGGCAGCGAGCGUUGUUCGGAGUUACUGGGCGUCAAGAGUGCGUAGGCGGCGAGCCAAGUUUGGUGUGAAAUCUCCCGGCUUAACCGGGAGGGUGCGCCGAAAACUGGUUGGCUGGAGUAUGGGAGAGGAAAGCGGAAUUCCUGGUGUAGCGGUGAAAUGCGUAGAUAUCAGGAGGAACACCUGCGGUGUAGACAGCUUUCUGGACCAAAACUGACGCUGAGGCACGAAAGCGUGGGUAGCAAACA